GACGAACGCUGGCGGCGUGCUUAACACAUGCAAGUCGAACGAGACGAUUGAAAGCUUGCUUUCGAAAGUCGAGUGGCAAACGGGUGAGUAACGCGUAGACAACCUGCCUUUGAGAUGGGGACAACAGUUCGAAAGGACUGCUAAUACCGAAUGUUGUAUAUUUUCCACAUGGAAGAUAUAUUAAAGAUGGCCUCUAUUUAUAAGCUAUCGCUCAAAGAUGGGUCUGCGUCUGAUUAGCUGGUUGGUGGGGUAACGGCCUACCAAGGCGACGAUCAGUAGCCGGUCUGAGAGGAUGAACGGCCACAUUGGGACUGAGACACGGCCCAGACUCCUACGGGAGGCAGCAGUGGGGAAUCUUCCACAAUGGACGAAAGUCUGAUGGAGCAACGCCGCGUGAGUGAAGAAGGGUUUCGGCUCGUAAAGCUCUGUUGUCGGGGACGAAUGUGCAGUAUUUGAAUAAAGUACUGCAAUGACGGUACCUGACGAGGAAGCCACGGCUAACUACGUGCCAGCCGCCGCCGUAAAAC
rnacentral:rRNA from 1 species